UAAAAAUAAUAUCAUUGAAGUACAUUGAACCAUCUUACUUCUUCAUUUCGUAGACCAACAUGAAGAUUCUUCUAUCUGAAUGGUCGUGGAAAAAGAAAUGUUUGCCCGAGCUGAAAGAUAAAAAAUGUUGAGUUAUUAGUCCAGGACAUGGUGCUUUCAGGAUACUGUUACACUGCCUUCAUAAUAGAGGUGUCAUUGAUAACUUGAGAGUUCAAUGUUGUUAGUUAGCAAAGUAAAGUGUUGCGACUAAAUUUUUUUUUUUAAGUUCUGGAAAACAUCCAAUUGAAAAAACAAUUCUUUUCCAAAAGUUUUAAGGUGAAACAGUCGUCCAUAGAUUCGUUGUUUUUCAAAAGUACUUGGAAGGGUUAAGAAAGCUUACACAUUGCUUGUGCUGUUUGGAGUGUACAUGCAUAUGUCGUUAUGUUUCUUCUCCUGCAAACUUCAAAUGUUAGUAUGCCUUUUGUCUUCUGUUUUGUUUUAAAAUUUCUGUUGAGAGAGUUUUACCUCUUUAACUACUUCAACCAGGGCUCUGAUCAGGAUUUUAUCUUCAUCUCUAAUAGUCCACUACAAACAAAGUUUGAAAGAAGUUGUCAGAUUCAGAAUAAGUCAAUAUUACUCAAAGCGUAAAAAGCAGAUACUUACGGAUUCUUCCGCCCCCUCCAUGUCUUCUUCAAAAAUCUUCUGGAACUCAGUCCAUUUAAGUUUUAUUAGCUUAUCCUGCUGGGGGCUAAUAAGAGGAAUUGCUGUUUGAGUUAGAGCAAAGAAGGAACCAAAAAAUUCUAAAGAAAUAAAGCAGAAACGUGCAACAAGAGGAAGAAGAAACCGGUCUUAGAUAGAGUAUGUGUAAAGUUUGGGUCUGUUUUGGCUGUUGGGGUCUGUCUUGGUUAUUUUGCAGACCUCUAAAUGGAAAAUCUUACCAGUGGUAGUCUAAAUGCGGGAAAAGAGGCGGGGCGGCUCUUCAUGAAUGUGAAUGGCAGGUAUGCAUGAAAGCAGAACUAUAUAUAUAGCAUGUGUAAACAACCGAUCUAUCAUAUUUUCCCUUGAAAAAAUUCCUAGGAAUAAUUGUUUGGUUUUUCUUUUGGAAUCUUCUUUUUGGUCAACCGUUUGAUUGCAUUAAAUUGAUUUUUACCUGAACUAUUUUUGUGGAUAGGCAACCUUAAGCACUAGCAGAAUUUGAAUUAUCUUCUCUGGAAAGGUCGUUUGAGAUUCAUCACGAAUGUCAAACCCCAUUUUCAGUGGAAUUUUUGCAGCGUUCCCCUGAUGAUGAAGUUGUCUGGAACAGUGACAUUUGCCAGAAACUUGUCUAUCCUGCAAGCACAAAUGUUUGAAUAUUCAACAAGAGAUCUAGAGCUGAAGCAAAAAUGGGUACCAAUUUGUAAAAAAACAAAAUUAUGAAAUGGUAACAGAAAGGGAUUGUAAAAAUCAAGAUUAUAAACGGAUCUAGCUUAAUUACAAAUGGGUAUGGUUAAAAAACAAGAUAUAAACACAUUUUGCA